UCUGGUUGAUCCUGCCAGUAGUGAUAUGCUUGUUUCAAAGAUUAAGCCAUGCAUGUCUAAGUAUAAGCGAACUUAUACAGUGAAACUGCGGAUGGCUCAUUAAAACAGUUUGAAUUUAUUUGAUGAAUGUAUGAGAAUACUACUUGGAUAACCGUAGUAAUUCUAGAGCUAAUACAUGCAACGACGCCCGACCGUUUCACUACGGAAGGGCUGUAUUUAUUGGAUACCAAAACCAUCCUUCCCUCGGGAAGUUUUGUUUGAUGAUUCACAAUAACUGAUCGGAUCGCCACUGUGGUGGCGACAGGUCAUUCAACAUUCUGCCCUAUCAGCUUUCGAUGGUUGUGUAGUGGACAACCAUGGCCAUAACGGGUAACGGAGAAUCAGGGUUCGAUUCCGGAGAAGGAGCUUGAGAAUUGGCUACUACAUCUAAGGAAGGCAGCAGGCGCGCAAAUUACCCAAUCCCGAUUCGGGGAGGUGGUGACAAAAAAUAACAAUACCGGGCCUUUUUGGGCUUGGUAAUUGGAAUGAGGGAGAGUUAAACGGACCAUCGAGUAUCCAUUGGAGGGCAAGUCUGGUGCCAGCAGCUGCGGUAAUACCAGCUCCAAUAGCGUAUAUUAAAGUUGUUGCAGUUAAAAAGCUCGUAGUUGGACUUGUGUGCGCUGUCCGCGGGUGGCCUGCGCCCAAAAGGGCGUUUCGGUUCGGCCCCGGUGGCGCCUUGAAAUCUGCAGCUGGGGGGACGUUGGCCUUAACUGGUCGGCGACCGCACGCCGGCUGCUCGGUUACUGUGAGAAAAUUAGAGUGUUCAAGGCAGGCAUUGGGUGCAAUUGAAUACAUUAGCAUGGAAUAAUAAAACAUGGCUCCUGCCGUAUUUUGUUGGUUUUGACUGGUGGGAGUAAUGAUUGAUAGGGACGGUUGGGGGUGCUAGUAUUGAGCGGCCAGAGGUGAAAUUCAUGGAUUCGCUCAAGACUAACUUAUGCGAAAGCAUUCACCAAGGACGUCCUCUUUAAUCAAGAACGAAAGUUGGGGGAUCGAAGACGAUCAGAUACCGUCGUAGUCUCAACCAUAAACUAUGUCGACUUGGGAUCGGCGGUAGUUUUUUCAUUAAGACACUGUCGGGACCACGGGAGAAAUCAAAGUGUCUGGACUCUGGGGGAAGUAUGGUCGCAAGGCUGAAACUUGAAGGAAUUGACGGAAGGGCACCACCAGGAGU
rnacentral:rRNA from 1 species